rnacentral:lncRNA from 1 species
AAUAAUAAAUUAACAAUAUUUACAUUUAAUAUAAUUAUAAAAAUAUCAAAAAUUAUUAAAUUAUAAUAAAUAUAAAAUUUACAUUUAGAAAGUUAUAAUUUUAAUUUUUGAAAAUUUAUUGAAAUUGUUUUUAUUAUAAAUUUUAUAAUAUUAAUUAAAACAUAAUAGAUAUAUUUUAAUAUUUUCAUAAUUUCAAUUGAAAUUUUUUUAUUAAAUAUUUUUACUUUUGUAUAUAUAUUGUUUAAAAAAAAAGAAAAAAAU